AUGAAACACGCAGAUGGGAAGCGUGGGACUGCGUGUCAGUGGAGCUCUGCCAUCAACGUGGAACAAAUGGAGCAAAUCUCCUCUUUGGUCCCCUUCCAGGCACUUGGGAUUUGUUUCCCCCUCUGCAAGCCAGGGCUCCUGGCAGUGCUGUUUUGUACCUGGCCUGUGCUGACUGCAGGUGAUGCUGCUUCUCGCUGUGAGCAUCGCUGUGGGGCUGGAGCUGCUCACAGGUCACAUUGUGACACGGCCACUGAUGGAGCCGCUGCUGUGCCAGCACUGUUGACCGUGGCCAAACCCAUUGUCACCUCUGUUUUUCCUGCCCUUCUUUUCACACCAAGCUGUGUCUUCUGCAACUGUCAGGAGUGGUGGCUCUUCUUGGAAGCGCUUGAAAAAUACACCGGUCCCAGUUUGGAAGAUGGGUUGCAGACAUCCAGCCUGGAAUUGCCACUUGUAAGUACCUUGAGAGGCUGCAGCUCUGUAUCCCAGCACAGAUAA
rnacentral:lncRNA from 1 species